AGGGACAUCAUUGUUCGUGGUUCUGCUGUUUGGAAUUCUAGUUUUGCCUUAAAGUUCUUAGACCAAGUCUUCCCAAAGCUUGCUUAUGGACCGACGUGGUUAUUGGGGAAGACUCAGUACAUUAAUCAUUACAACAUGAUGACAAAGUAAUUCGCUUCAUAUGUUUUUGUCUUGUUCGAUCAUCUUUUCUCAAGUGCCUCUUGUCAUACCUGUUUGCGGAACAGCUUGUGUUGGCAAGUCCACUUAUAGCUACACAACUUGCCAAAUGUCUCACAGGUAUCCGUCUGAUUUUGGCAACCAAUUAUUUGUUUUGAGAUUGCUUAUGGAGCCAACAUGGUUAUUGGAAAAUACUGAAUGGAGGAUAAACCUCAUACAGCAGUAACAGACAUGGAUUAUGAGCUACUUCGAACAGCAACUGAGUACGUUUUUUCUCUUUUCUAAUGUUGUUACAUACUAUAAAGCAGAUGCCCAAACAUGUGUCGAGUUCCCUUUGGAGUUGGACUUGCUCCCCUUACAUGAGCGUUGAGCAGUAACCAAGAUUCCCAAGUUUCUACAAAAUACCAUCUUUAUGCCAUUGUGGAGCAUCUUUUGGUUAUUACUCUGCUUAAGUUUGAUGACGCCAAGAUGAUUGCUGGGCUGAAAUUGCUCGUGACAACAUGGGAAGUCUGGUGCGAGAGAAGUCAACUUUCCCUUCUGGUAUUAUAGCGCUUGCGGUUUUAUAUUCACAGCAAGGGCAGUUUAUGCUCGGGAUUUACUCAGAUGCCAGGUAUUUUACUUGCAUGUAUACACUUGCAGCAAAACCAUGCCAGGUUCUUUAGGCCAUGAGGAGCAUGAUGCCAAUACGUUAGCAGAAUGGGGAAUUGAUUACUUGAAGUAUGACAACUGCAACAAUGAUGGAUCUAAGCCGACUGUCAGGUGUUUUGGAAGCGGAUUUAUGAUCCGAUCAUAGCUGCCUCCUUGAUACAGAGGAAUUCAGAUAAGUACUUACACUAUUAUUCUCUUAUACCUAAAACUUCAGAGCAGUCUUAAACAUGUAAAGAAGAGUCACAUAAAUGUUUUAUUUUUAUUUUUAUAAUCAUCUUUAUGUACAGUAAAGUUAAAUAUUUUUGGAGCA